AACGAACGCUGGCGGCAUGCCUAACACAUGCAAGUCGAACGAGACCUUCGGGUCUAGUGGCGCACGGGUGCGUAACGCGUGGGAACCUGCCUUUAGGUUCGGAAUAACUCAGAGAAAUUUGAGCUAAUACCGGAUGAUGUCUUCGGACCAAAGAUUUAUCGCCUUUAGAUGGGCCCGCGUUGGAUUAGCUAGUUGGUGGGGUAAAGGCCUACCAAGGCGACAAUCCAUAGCUGGUCUGGGAGGAUGAUCAGCCACACUGGGACUGAGACACGGCCCAGAAUCCUACGGGAGGGAGCAGUGGGGAAUAUUGGAAAAUGGGCGAAAGCCUGAUCCAGCAAUGACGCGUGAGUGAUGAAGGCCUUAGGGUUGUAAAGCUCUUUUACCCGAGAUGAUAAUGACAGUAGCGGGAGAAUAAGCUCCGGCUAACUACGUG
rnacentral:rRNA from 1 species